UUAAAAAAGACUAAUUAAAAAAAGAGAAAUUAGGGUUACUUGUAUUGUGACUCUUCAACUUUCCUUCUCCUUUCUCGUGAACGCACGCAAACGGCCGAACGAGCUUAAGCAUCCAUGGCCGAACGAACUCCAACAACACAACCUAAUCAAGGCGCAAACCGCAUACAGGAGCUUCGAUUUCUUCCCUUCAUCCUAAAUCUAUGGCCGGAACUUCUUGAAGUCUCGUCACCACCACCUGAUUUCACCGAUUGUGACGAAGUUGUAGUAGGUGCCGUUGCGGAUUCGAUGCCGGGGCGGAGAUCGAUCUCUUUGAGGAUGGUGAUUACGUUGCAGGUUCUUCCAUGAUUGAAUUCGGAUCAGAGUGAUGAAUACGAUCGAAGGUGAAGAAGUGAAUGGAGAAAGAUGAAUUUUGUUGAGUCGUUCUUCUUCUUCUUCUUCUUCUUCUUCUCUGUUUUACCGUUUCUUUCUGACUUGAUGAUUGAAGAUUUUGUUAUUGAAGCAGUUGCAGAGAGUUGAUGGAGAUAGAGAGUGAAGUUGAGUCUAAAGGGGAUAGAAGAGAUGGAAGAGUGAAGAGUGAAGAGUGGUUCUGCUAUGGAGGUUGAGGAAGAUUCUGAAGGAGAAUGGUGGUGAUGAGAAGUGGUGAAUGAAGAUUGAUAAAUUGUGGAAGAUGAUGAUGAAUGAGGAGAAUGGUGGAGGAGUGAUGAAUGUUGAAGUGAAGAUUGAUGAAUGGGGAAGAGAGACUGAAGUGUGGUGGUUCUGGUAGUGAAGGGAGAGUCAAGUGAUGAAGUGAAUUGUUGAGAGAGUCAAGAAUGGCUGAGCUGAAAUGUGAAGGGUGAAACCUGUUAUAUAUCGGUUGAAGGUUAGUCUUCUAUCUACUCUCUUUUUUCUGCUAGAGUUCGGUUGGAGAUUCUGUUAGAUGUGUAACUGAAUGUUAGGUUAGUUAUGUGGUUGUUAGGAUAGUAACUGAAAUCGGUUAGGUGGUUUGAAACUGUUAGUUUGUUAAACUGUUUAAGUUAGUUAAGGUUGAAGGUUAAAAAGAAAAACAGUUAGUUGUGAGGUUAUAUGUUAGAUGAUUCGGUUACUGUUAGCUAAAACAGUUAGGCUGAAACUGAGUUAAGAACAGGGGAUGCUAGAUGAGCAAUAUUAGUCUGAAUAUUUUGAAUCUUCUUCUUUGCUCUAUCAAGGUAAACUAACAAGCACUGGACCGUUUUGGCUUUUGGAUGCAGAGCUGAUCUGAAUGUGUAGUCAAUGCAGGUUUUCAAGUGUUUGGAUGCUGCAAGUUUCUGAGCUUUGCUCUUAAUGAUGAGUGAUGUGAACUUAUUUUUUGUGAUUUGGAAAAGGCUGGAAUAUGGCAUUGGCAGUAAGAUGGCAGUGUGAAGUUUGGAGCAGAAGGUCAUUUGAAGGGUUUAUGGCAAAGGGUUUAGAAGUAAUAGGCUUUAUGAAAUCAUGUCGUCUUGGUUAGAAGCAUAUUUUUGUGUAGUUUUCUUUGUACUCUCUUUGUAAUGGAAUUGUAUUGUUGUAAUGGAGACAUUUGGGAACCGAACUUGUAAUAGUGUUGAAUAAUUAUUGAAUGAAUGAAUUAACAUGCUUUCCAAAAUGCUUGAAUAUCCUUGUACAUGUCAUAUGCCUUAAGUUUCAAGCAACUUGUUUCUCAGGAAAUCACACACAAAUUCUUAAUAACUCUAAUUCAUUAUGAUAUUCUUUGAACUCGAAUCCACUUGAAUUUCAGGGAACAAAUUCUCGAUUAAUUCUCCUCUUCAAUUAAACCCUUAAUUCAAUCUUAAAUCAACUUGAGUAAGGUAGACUCCUUGAAUAACCUUUGAAUAUAGAUAAAAAUUCUUGAGCAAUAAUGACUUCCAAGUCAACAAGAUCUUUGAUCCUCUACCUGAUUUAUUGAUUGGUAAAGUCUGAAUGUUGAAUGACUUGAUGAAUGUAUGCAGAUGAAUGCAAUGCUUAAGCCAG